AAUUGAUUGGUAUGCUCAUGACCAUUAGUUUUAUAGUUGAAUAUCUUUGGCCCGUAGUGCAAAGAUAGACAACUGAUUGGUAUGAUCAUUGUUAUUACAUUUGAAUAUCUUCAGCCUUUGGGGUAAGGAUAUUUAGUAAACGUUCUAUUAAGCCUUUGUGACAAGAAGGAACUGUUAAUUCACAUUAUUAUAAAUAUUAAUUAUGAAUUUAACUAACAUCUUUGGUGGUUCAGGUGAAGAUAAGUGAUGAAAGUUCUAUUUGUCUUGAGUAUAAUAAAGAACUGUUGAUGAGUAUUACAGGAAUAAAAUAUCAAUGAUG
rnacentral:lncRNA from 1 species